GGCGAGCAGAGCGAGCUUGGACUCGCUCUGUCUCCGAGGUUCGAUUCAGCACUGGUGUACAGAGAAGCUGAGCUUUCGACAUCACAGGAAGAAAUAGCCUUUUCUAUGGUGAUGACCAGAAGUUUUCCUCAGCACACCUCUCAGCUUCUCCUUCCAGCUUCAACACUCUGGGAACCUGCCAUACUUGAUCUCUUUGGAGAGGUAUUCUGGGACAAAUUGUCUAGAUACAGAAAAUGUUAAGAGGUAACUGGCACAGAAUUAACAGCUUUCAUACUUGGCUACAAGACAGUCUUCUCUAGUUUCCCAUAUAUUUCUUGACCUGAUGCAUUUAAGGACGUUUGAAAUCACAUUAUUUUGAAGUGUCUUAAUUUUGCUUAUAUUGGGUUGUGGAAGUUUCAGAUUAGGUUUAUCCUCUCAAGGCAAUCUGAUCUUAUUGGCUCUGUAUCCUUCAGAAAUAACUGAAUAAUUGAUUUACUAGGGACUUCUCUUGGUUUUUUAGGACCUCCAAGUCUUUAACUGUUUAUUUACUAUAU